AUACGGAGGGUGCAAGCGUUGUUCGGAAUCACUGGGCGUAAAGGGCGCGCAGGCGGUUUGGUAAGUCAGAUGUGAAAGCCCAUGGCUCAACCAUGGAAGUGCAUUGAAACUGUCAGACUUGAGUACUAGAGGGGAAAGUGGAAUUCCCGGUGUAGAGGUGAAAUUCGUAGAUAUCGGGAGGAAUACCGGUGGCGAAGGCGACUUUCUGGCUAGAUACUGACGCUGAGGCGCGAGAGCGUGGGGAGCAAACAGAAUUAGAAACCCGGGUAGUCC
rnacentral:rRNA from 1 species